UCGAGAAUUUUUCUCAAUGGGGGAAACCCUGAAGGAGCGACGCCGCGUGGAGGAUGAAGGUCUUCGGAUUGUAAACUCCUGUCAUGAGGGAGCAAGGCAAGGCGUUAACUGCGUUCUUGUUUGAUAGUACCUCAAGAGGAAGGGACGGCUAACUCUGUGCCAGCAGCCGCGGUAAUACAGAGGUCCCGAGCGUUGUUCGGAUUCAUUGGGCGUAAAGGGUGCGUAGGCGGUUGGGUAAGUCAGGUGUGAAAUUCCGGAGCUUAACUGCGGAACUGCACUUGAUACUGCUCGACUUGAGUGCUGGAGAGGAGACUGGAAUUCACGGUGUAGCAGUGAAAUGCGUAGAUAUCGUGAGGAAGGCCAGUGGCGAAGGCGAGUCUCUGGACAGCAACUGACGCUG
rnacentral:rRNA from 1 species